GUCGUUGUAGUAUAGUGGUGAGUAUUUCCGCCUGUCACGCGGACGACCCGGGUUCAAUCCCCGGCAACGGCG
rfam:Selaginella moellendorffii unplaced genomic scaffold SELMOscaffold_5, whole genome shotgun sequence.